GAUGAACGCUGGCGGCGUGCUUAACACAUGCAAGUCGAACGGAAAGGCCCAAGCUUGCUUGGGUACUCGAGUGGCGAACGGGUGAGUAACACGUGGGUGAUCUGCCCUGCACUUCGGGAUAAGCCUGGGAAACUGGGUCUAAUACCGGAUAGGACCACUUCUUGGAUGUUGUGGUGGAAAGUUUUUUCGGUGUGGGAUGAGCUCGCGGCCUAUCAGCUUGUUGGUGGGGUAAUGGCCUACCAAGGCGUCGACGGGUAGCCGGCCUGAGAGGGUGUACGGCCACAUUGGGACUGAGAUACGGCCCAGACUCCUACGGGAGGCAGCAGUGGGGAAUAUUGCACAAGGGGCGCAAGCCUGAUGCAGCGACGCCGCGUGGGGGAUGACGGCCUUCGGGUUGUAAACUCCUUUCGCUAGGGACGAAGCGUUUUGUGACGGUACCUGGAGAAGAAGCACCGGCUAACUACGUG
rnacentral:rRNA from 1 species